CACUGGAUGGCGCAGUGGUCAACGCACUUGGCCGGUAAUCAGGAUAUCCUGGGUUCGAAUCCCGGUCCGGUGC